GCCAACGUAGCUCAACGGUAGAGCCCCGGUUUUGUAAACCGGCGGUUGUCGGUUCGAUUCCGACCGUUGGCU
rnacentral:tRNA from 1 species